CCNUUGUAGGCUUUGGAAACUGUUUAACUUGAGUGCAGAAGGGGAGAGUGGAAUUCCAUGUGUAGCGGUGAAAUGCGUAGAUGUANGGAGGAACACCGGUGGCGAAAGCGGCUCUCUGGUCUGUAACUGACGCUGAGGCUNGAAAGCGUGGGGAGCGAACAGGAUUAGAUACCCUGGUAGUNCACGCCGUAAACGAUGAGUGCUAGGUGUUAGGUCCUUUCCGGGACUUAGUGCCGCAGCUAACGCAUUAAGCACUCCGCCUGGGGAGUACGACCGCAAGAUUGAAACUCAAAGGAAUUGACGGGGGCCCGCACAAGCGGUGGAGCAUGUGGUUUAAUUCGAAGCAACGCGAAGAACCUUACCAGGUCUUGACAUCCCGAUGCCCGCUCUAGAGAUAGAGCUUUACUUCGGUACAUCGGUGACAGGUGGUGCAUGGUUGUCGUCAGCUCGUGUCGUGAGAUGUUGGGUUAAGUCCCGCAACGAGCGCAACCUUUAUUGUUAGUUGCCAUCAUUCAGUUGGGCACUCUAGCGAGACUGCCGGUAAUAAACCGGAGGAAGGUGGGGAUGACGUCAAAUCAUCAUGCCCCUUAUGACCUGGGCUACACACGUGCUACAAUGGCUGGUACAACGAGUCGCAAGCCGGUGACGGCAAGCUAAUCUCUGAAAGCCAGUCUCAGUUCGGAUUGUAGGCUGCAACUCGCCUACAUGAAGUCGGAAUCGCUAGUAAUCGCGGAUCAGCACGCCGCGGUGAAUACGUUCCCGGGCCUUGUACACACCGCCCGUCACACCACGGGAGUUUGUAACACCCGAAGUCGGUGAGGUAACCGUAAGGAGCCAGCCG
rnacentral:rRNA from 1 species